AAUAAGUUUUAUUCUUGCUUUUUCAUUAAUUAUUUGAAUAAAUUAUAUGUUUAUUAUUAAGAAUAUAAAUUUAAACAGUAAUUAGUAUUAAAAUUUAAUUUUAUUAUUUAAUUAGGAAUUCAUUAUUAAAAUUGAUUAAUUUUGUGCCAGCAUUCGCGGUUAUACAACGAAUUUGUGUUAAUGUUUUUAGUAUUUAAAUUAAUAUUUAAUUUUGAAUUAAAUUUGUGAUAUUUAGGUGGAAUUUAUAUAGUAAUUAUGUUUGUUCUAAUUAUUAUUUAUUUUUUAAAGUUUUAUUUUUUAAACUAGGAUUAGAUACCCUAUUAUAAAUUAUUAAUAUUUUACUUGAUUAUUAUUAGUUAUGUUCUUUAAAAUUCAAAGAAUUUGGCGGUAAAUUAUCUAUUUAGAGGAAUCUGUAAUUGUAAAUUGAUAAACCACGAUUGAAUUUACCUGUUAUUUAUAUUUGUAUAUCUCUAUAUUAAGGAAUGUUUUAUAAAGAAAAAUUUUCUUUAUUUUUAAAAAAAAUUAUGUUAGGUCAAGGUGCAGUUUUUUAUUGGUAAUUAUGGGUUAUUUUAAUUUUAAAUAUUUAUGUUUUCUCUUUUUUAUAAAAUGAAAUAUUUUAGGAUUUAAUAGUAAAUUUAAUUAAAUUGUUAUAUUGAACAUUUUAGUUCUAGUUUAUGUACAUAUCGCCCGUCACUCCCUUUAAUAUUGGGAUAAGUCGUAACAAAGUAAUUGUAUCGGAAGAUGUAGUUAGAAUU
rnacentral:ncRNA from 1 species